AUGGAGGAGCAGAUCACCACACUCGUCAAGUCCGUCAACAAGGGCCGCGCGGCCAACGAUGCACGUCUGGAGGCGAUACAGGCGUCUCUCGAGCUGUGGCGACCAGCGGUGAUGAAUCUUCAACAUCAACUCGAUGAACUGCGCACACAAGUGGUACGGAUCGCUUUCACCCCACGCUGGCUGAUCCGAGCGGCGCAGAAGGUGAUCCGAUGGCAGAUCCGGUGGCGCGUCCCGUGGCGGCACAUCCCAAGCCUGCCACGACGCACCACAGGCCAAGUGGCCACGACGACAUCAUCGAAUCCGGGGGAUCGGCUCAUAGGGUGGUCACCACCCUGGUGCCUCCUCCGGUCAAGGGAGGAGCUCUUGGCAAGCAUGCCACAGAAGGAUCAGUCGUUAUUGGCUUUGGGCGCACCUCCCCCAUGGCCAGGGCUGCCAGUGCCCCAAGCGGCCGCUGAGGAUCAUCGCGCAUUAGACGCGGCGCGAGCACCGGAUCAUCGCCAAUCGUGGCACUCCGCAACUACAGGCGUGCCCGCGGGCUCUGCUUCAAAUGUGGGGAGCAUUGGGGGCAAGGCCACCAAUGCGCUGCCACGGUCCAACUUCAUUUUUAUCAGCGAGGUGGUGGCAGAGUUGAUUGUUGAACAAGUGUUGCUAAUGGAUCUAGUGUCAGUCAAAAUUGCAGAUGGGGGUGUGCUCAAGUGUUCUGGAAUUAUACCAUAUUGCAAGUGGCAGACUCGGGGGUACAAGUUCUCCACUGAUUUUCACAUCUUGUCAUUGGGCUGCUACGACAUGAUGGGGCCGCAACCACAAGUCCAACAAGUGCAGCAGGCCACUUUGUUGCAACUCCUCAAGAUGGAACAUGGCAACUCAAUUGCGCACAUCAUGAUGAUUUGUGCAGCAGAACAUCAAGAAGGAAACGAGCCAGUGCCUUCAGUGAUACAACAUAUCCUCGAUGACUUUCAAUCAGUGUUUGCAGAAUCGACCAAUCUGCCUGAGCACAGAGAAUGGGAUCAUGCCACCCCCCUCAUUGCAGUGGAACACUGGCGCCCCUACCUCCAGCAUGCAGAGUUUGUGGUUCGGACGGACCAAAAGAGCUUGCUCAACCUGACGGAUCAAAGGCUCAAUACGCCAAUACAACAGCGAGCAUUCACCAAACUAGUCGGCCUGCAGUUCACUAUUCAGUAUAAGGCGCGGCUAACCAACAGAGUUGCAGAUGCGCUUUCUCGUCGCGCACCCGGACAUGAAACAGAAAUGGCAGUGAUCUCGGUGUGCAAGCCCACGUGGCUGGAAGCAAUCAAACAAAGCUAUCGGCAAGAUACCGCAACUACUCAGUGCAUGACAAAGUUGGCGCUGGCUCCGGACACUAGCCAGCUUGAGCGGAGGCCAGCGCACGGCGCGUCGACCUGCCUGCCGGGCGGCGCGGCAGCACGCCCGUCCUGCUUGUCGGUGCGGCCUGCCUGCUCGCCCGGCGGUGCAGCCUGCCUGCUUGACGGCGCGGUGGCCUGCUCGCCGACGCUGCCGUUGCCCUACCCACAUGUGGUCGUAUCACUGUCUGGACUGCGUACGCGGUCGUCCGAACAGAGGUCGUGCGUGAGCAGUCGCCGCUGGCAGAGCCCACGGCGGGCGUGCGUGCAUGCGAAGCCGCGGCUGGCUGGUCACCGCGCGUCGCAACCACUGACAACUUGGCGGCUGCGCGUGCUCGACCCGGAGGUGGUCGCCUCGUUCCCCGCCAUGACCUACGCCGAGGCGAGGGCGCUUCGGGAGAAGGAAGCGGGAGGCAAGGGCGACGAUGACACGGCCGUGCUCGAGUGCGCCAUCUGCCGCAGCGAGUUCGGGGACGGGGACCAGCUCCGGCUCCGGCUCCUCCCCAAGUGCAGCCAAGCCUUCCACUCGGACUGCAUCAGGGUGUGGCUCGCCGGCCACGUCGCCUGCCACAAGACGCACAUAACCUGUUCGAUUGGUGGGCAUUUGAUGAGGUGGCGGGAUUUGCCCUUAGAUGGGUGGCUGGACCUCCGCGCGAGAGUGCCCCUGCUGCCGUCCUUCGUCCUUCGUCUGCUGCUGCUCUUCUUUCCCCACGCCUCUGCUGCUCCUCCUAUCAACACUGUUGCUGCUCCUCUGCUUAAAACUGCUGCUGCUUCCUCUUCCCACGUCUUUGCUGCUGCACUGCUUGCGCCCGACCUCUGCUCCUCCCCUCGUCUCUUCUACUGCUGCUCCCUCUUCCCUGCUGCCCUUCUCUCAAUCCCACGCUGCUGCUCCUUCUUCUCCUCAUCAGCCGAUCCCCUUUUCCCCAUCCUCUCCCUCUCUACUCCUAACUGUAGAUCGAGGUCCGUCCUCAUCAGCCGAUCCUCUUUUCCCCAUCCUCUCCCUCUCUACUCCUAA
rnacentral:rRNA from 1 species